UACGUAGGGUGCGAGCGUUAAUCGGAAUUACUGGGCGUAAAGCGUGCGCAGGCGGUUAUAUAAGACAGAUGUGAAAUCCCCGGGCUCAACCUGGGACCUGCAUUUGUGACUGUAUGGCUAGAGUGCGGCAGAGGGGGAUGGAAUUCCGCGUGUAGCAGUGAAAUGCGUAGAUAUGCGGAGGAACACCGAUGGCGAAGGCAAUCCCCUGGGCCUGCACUGACGCUCAUGCACGAAAGCGUGGGGAGCAAACAGG
rnacentral:rRNA from 1 species